UUUCCCAUGUGGUUUUCUGAAGUGAACAUUUACUCUGUGUUCUUUAACAGAUGAGAAAGCUUCACGGCUGUGAGUAACUUGAAAGAGACACCCGUGGGUUGCUGACCUCUGUCAGUGAUGGUGUUUGCAGAGAUUGCAGCUGCUAUUUAUCUGCCUGCACACAGAUCACUUCACAGUUCUCCCAGACAGUUUUCAACCACGCAUAGUGGGAGCUGUCCUAUUUUCCUUGUUGUUGUCCUCAUCCUGUGUAUGGGAACUGUUGAAUCAUGGCCUGAACCUCUGAUUGACCACCUGAGGCGAGUGCUGAGUCAGCCGCAGGGGCACAGGUGAAGGCAAUUUCACCUGAGUGACCGGAAGGGGUGGAUCCUGGCUGCACCCCUCCUAGGCCCCAUUAAGGGCUGACUCCCAAGGAGGAUGGAUCUCUAUCUGGAGAUCACUCCUCUUGGAGCCCUUCUGUGAGCCCAGGACACAGGUUUCGUGUUUAUAGAACGAAGAAGGACAUCUUGUAAAGGCGCCUUUUCAUGUGCGGAGAGACCAUAAAAAUAACAAGACCCCAGAAUGUUAAAGAGAAUCACGAAUGCACAUGGAAAAUGCUACGCUAAUCACUGAAUUUCUGCUCCCAAAUACCUCUGUUUACUGAGUUGCAGCCAGCCCCGAUGAGCUUGGAGUAUGCCAGCAAAAGUGUGCAUAUCAGAAAGCUGCUGUGGAGUACAUGUUGUGAAUUGUAUGGGAACUGUUGAAUCACGGCCUGAACCUCUAAUUGACCACCUGAGGUGGGGAAGAGGACAUAACAGAACGAAAGCCAAGAAGAAAAUUGCAGCAAAGGGAUGGAGGAGUGCUGCUUAACCGUCUGUCUCCUGAAGUCUUCAGAUGUUGGCUAAGAUUUCCUCUGCUGGAUGUGUAUGUCAGACUUCUACAAAAUCAACCCCCGCUCAACUACUCUGAGCUGGUAGGCAUCCUAAGUAAUGCUGUUGAAUAAACUGAAGUAAUUUGGGAUACAAUUUGGCAUAAGAGAUCACAAUUACUCUGCUGAGAUUAUUCCAGCAUUACAUCCACUUAUGAAACUACAAAAGAAAUCUGUCCACUGAAAUUCAUCUUCUAUGAAAGCUGCAGGAAGUGCUGACUGUCUACUUCCAGUGUGCCUGCCCAAAGGGAGACCUCUCUGCUGGAUCCCAACAAGAGGAGAUGACAAACAAGACAAGCGCAUUUCGUAGCACCCAUGACUCAGAUGGAGCAGAUCAGCUCUUCAGCUAUUGCUUCAUUAACCAAGGCUUGUUUGCUACAGACAUCACCAUCAAGAGUUUCCAGAGAUGCCACUGAAAGGUGUCCAUAUGUGUGCGGUGGGGAACCUGGCCAGCUCGCAGAGCCGCCUCUCCUCCAAGAACUGCAUACUGAGGCUUCUCAGUGUUGCAGAAAAAGCCACUGUUGCUUCCAAACUGCUAUAGGAACUGACAGGAGCGCUCCAUAUCCAGGUGCUGACUGACCACUGAAGAGCAGUUUGUAUGAAGAGCCUCAAAGGAGCUUCCAAAAGAAACUCAAAAACCUUGAGGUACAUUAUUCAGCUUUUCUUCAGCUUGUGAUGAAAAUGCCUUAACUUCGCCAUUGCUUAAUUCAUUUCCAAAGUAAAUUAAAUAAAUACCGGAAUAGCUAAAACUUGAGUUCUGUUGCCCUGCAGUUUAAUGUGGUAGAAGUACUCUGUUCCCACAUGUAGGUUAGUUGUUUCAAGUUAAUUUUCUUGAGUGAUUCUGAGAAAACUUUUCAUAUGUCUUCUUUUAAUUUGUUUUCCUUUCUUACGUAUUUCCUUCAGCUUACAACCUGGAGGAUGUUUGUCUACAUUUGCGAGGUAAAAUGGAGUUAUGCUUCAAAAUAAAGGAAAAUGCUGUGGUCUGUGGGUUAGUUCAUGAAGACCUCGAGUUUACUAUGGUAACUCCUUUUACAUUUUUAAUUAUAUCGCACCCUUAAUAUUUUGAAGAAAAGGAUUAGCAUACAGAGAGCGGAAAACUUUAUGCACUUUCUUCUUUGAAUGCUAAAAACUCUAGAAUUCAUUUCUGUUUCCUGAUAUGCACUUGAGAAAAAAUUGAGAUGACAGCAUGAUGUUUGAUCAUGACUCAUUAAAAUGGUGCCCAGGCUUCCUGCUCCGACACAACAGACAGUUGCGUAGCUGUUUGCAACUUUGACUUAAUAGGAUUUUGCAAUGCAGUUUCACAAUGCCACUUUCUCCCACUUUGCAUUUAAGAAUCCAGUCACUUACUGUUUAAAUAUCCCAAUAAGCUUCUGAGAGGAGACUUUCAGCUCUCCCCGCUUGUAGCUUUUCCUAAUCUUUCACCAUCCGACAUGUCCCCUGUGCCUCGGGCCAAGCGCUCUGAGCAGUACAUCCAUGGACGUUGUUUGAGUUUACGGGAGUUGCACCUCCCAGUAACACAUUCUUAUCCCUUUACAUCACAAAGUGAACCGCCAGCCCCAUUCAAUCAUUGAUAGUCUUUGGUGUCUCUUCAUUGCGCAGUGGUUAUUGCUAUAAACAGUCUUCACCAAAGUUCCCGUGUUUUUCCUGCUCUGCCAUAGAGGAGCCACCAAGGUUCCUGUUUGUCACCAGGUGACCAGCACUGUUUUGGUAAACUGUUCAACCCAUUUGAAGUGCCAUGGAGCCAAAUUGUGGAAAGGGCUUGUUCCAUCUUGCUGGCCUGAGCGCACCCAGCGUGGGGCUGGGAAUACCGGGAACACAAGUGGUUAUGAAAGGAAGAAAAGUGAAAAAAAGGGUUUUACUGAGAAGUAUGAUGUCACCCAGAUCACAGUCUAUUUCUGGAACUAAGCUGUGAAACCCAUGACACAUUUUGACACAUAAAUGUUGCCAAGUAAAACUGAUAAUAUAUAAUUGUUUAAUAGGGUCACAGCCAACUGUUUUCCAGAUAAGGAGCUGAACUCUUCCAUGCAAUAUAGCAUUUGUGGAACGUUACACCUAGUUGGUUCCAUGCUUUCAUUGGCUCUGGGAUUACUUCCUAUCAUAUUUAAAUAAAAAGACUAGAUUAUUGGGUACCAUAAGAACAAUGGAUUGUUUAAUGGUCUUAUGGCACUUAUCUUAAGUCAAUACGAAAGUUUUGAGUUUCUAGGGCUAUGUCAAGGGCAGUGAAACAAGGACUGCAUUCAGUGAAUUACUCAUUUGUUUAUUUUUUAAUGCACAUUUAAGUAUCUCAUUUUGGGGACUCAGAUAUACAUAGAUGAUUCAGUUAAAUGCAGAUUAAUUUACCAAAAAAAAAAAAAAAAAAGAGAAAGAAAUUGUGCUUGUCUGAGAAACAGAAUCUGGUAGAAAAUAUUAUUAUGCUAUUAUGUGCAAUUUGUUCUAGAUAAAAGUAAUGAUCAAACAACUUCCUUGUCUCUUUGCCAUGGUGCAAAUUUCCUGUGAUAGAGGUCUAUUUUGUAUAGAAUUCUUCAUCCAAGCUUUGUUCCUAGAAGCUUGACAGGGAUCCAUAAUGUAAUUACAGUUAUUAGGAGUAAGUAAUACCAGUAAAAAGAGAUGCUAUAGAAGUGUAGAUAUGGAAGGGAAGAGAUAGGUUCUGAUAUGAAACAGAGAGAGACUGUAGCCCAGAAAUGUAUGAAAAUUGCUCAGGACACAGAGGCAAAGAGCAAAGGCCAGGUCUCCAGGUGUGCAAGGAACAAGAGGGGGACCGAAAGGCAAAGCUUGGGCUUCAAUAGCCACGUCAGAGUUUCGGAGAACCAGAAUUCUUAGGCUGUCCUGGAGACUAGAGUCCUAAGUUCUUCUCGUUAUAAGUUUCUUAAUGUCCUUAUUUCUAUCUUUACAGACAGUCAUAUGGUUUUAACUAUAAGGUCAUAAAACCUUACAGUGUUUCCCUUUUAAAACCAAUGCUUUCUAAUCCUUAAUUGCUGAAAUGUGUGAUGAAAACAAAACAAAAUUAUUUUCUUCCUGGAUCUGAUGUGGACUGCUGGAUUAAUUUGCAGCUAUGGCCAUUUUGCUCCCUUAUAGAGAGAAAAAUAGGUUGAUUGUUUCCUUCAAACACAAAAUCACAUUUCUUUAGCGCUGUCCUUUCCCUCUCACUGUGAGAAAGGAGAGAAUGGUUUCCGCCACAAGCACACUGCCCUUCUGCCUUUCAUGGUGUCUGAAAGUCCAUUAACAGUUCAAACCAGAGCAGUUUGUGUUGGUGGUGUUCCCAUUUCCUCAAAAGCAGCUUCUCUGCAAUGACCCCAUCCCUGGAGGCAUUCAAGACCAGGCUGGAUGUGGCUCUGGGCAGCCUGGUCUGGUGGUUGGCAACCCUGCACAUAGCAGGGGGGUUGAAACGAGAUGAUCAUUGUGGUUCCUUUCAACCCAGGCGAUUCUAUGAUUCUAUGGCAUGAGGGCAGCAGUGUGGAAGUGACGCUCUUAUCACUGCAGAGGAGCUUGAGGGUCAUUCCAUGGCCAGGCCCUGGGUGGCCAGCACUGAGCUCCCUUGACUAUACGGGCUUUAGCCAGCUGCUCACUUGGCUUCCAGCACCAACCUGCCGUGCCCAUCCAUCUUCAACCCUCACUGUUGCGGAAAGUGAUCUGAUCUUCACUGGACUGCAUUGCAUGUAAUUAAGGAAAGGACAUAUAAGAAAGAACCACCCAUUCCUCCUUGAGUCCAGUUCUUUCCAUCAGUCUCUCUUCACCAUGCCAGCACUACUUUCUUUUCCCUUGCUUAAUAUACAGUACCGUGCCAUUUCAUUGAACUGGCAGAUAAGCUUGGACUCUGCUGUCCCUUAGCUGCCUGCCUUGAGCCAAAGCUUCCUGCUAUUUUCCUACCAUACACUGAUUUAUCUUUUGCUUUCUCAAGUAACGCUUCCCCAAAGAACAUGUCACGGGCUGAAUGGGAGCAUGGAAGCGGGCUGCCAGAAGGCACUUAUCUAUUGUUCUUCCUUACCCAAGAUGGCAUGUUAAUGCCAAAGGACUCAGUGCAGCUGCCAACUCUGCAUCAGCUGAGUCUUAACCUUUACCAUGCGUACAGCAGCCGUUUGCUGGAGACCAGCUAGCGCCAGAGUGCAGACUUGCCUGCCAAAGCUUGGAUUUCUGUGUAAUUGGUUCCCAUGUCACAGAGCUUACAAGGUCCAAUUACAUCCCCUCACUGUAGCAGGAGCCUUUCACUUGCUGUGGGGCUGAGUUUGAUGACCAUGCAUCUCCUGUUGGAUAGCAGCUAGAGGACCAAGUUCAUCCACCUGCAUCCUUGGGCUUCCUACUACUUGAACACAUGUCUUUGGGUGCCAAGCCCAUCGCAAAAGUAGAAGCUAAGCCAGAGGAAUGCAGAUCUUAUUAAAUGGAGAAGGGGGUGGUCAUUUGGAAAGCUUAGAAAUGUAGAGAAAUAGGUGUGUUUCUUGGUGGAGAAGGUUUGAUGGUGGGCAUCGCAGCUAAUGUUGCAAUGUAGAGAUGGAAAAUCUGUGUUUAUAUCCUGAAUAUCAACUCUUCAUUCUAGCUGUGGGAAUCAUUACACUUGUGGAAACAGGUGGUUGUUUGCUGCAGUGCUCAUAGAAGGGCUCUCUCCCCUACGAGAACCCCAGAUUGCUGUGAGAAAGCUGUUUGUACAUAAGUAACUGAUAUGCAUUUUUCAGAUUCCUAAUGUCUAUGAAGCUUCAAUUACCCAGUAAAGAACCAAAAUAAACCCCCCCAAAACGGUAUCAUGUGACCAAUUCAUUUAAGAAACUGCAUGUCCCCUCAACACUUGAGGAUCUGUAUGUAGCUAGCCCUACUAUGCCUGUUUUUCUCUCAUUUCUGGCCUCUCUAUACAGAUGGGGACCUUAGAAAUGAAAAGAUUGAAUGUCUUAUGACAGGCAAGCAAGGAGUCUGUGGCUGAAUCAUGGAGAAAACUCAAAUGUCCUGAGGAAUAAACACUCUGAGCAAUUUCUAGGUGACAGAAAACCAACUAGGAAAAAGCCCAGCAGGCCACAGAAAAUCAGAGAUAAGGGAAACAUCUGAAGGACUGGUGUAAAGCUACUCUGAAGCUGCCUCUCUGUGUGAUUAAGCAACUCCAAUUAGCAGCAGUGUCACAAACAGAACGCAUGAGGGCAUUUCUGCCAUUCCUGAGCCCUCAGCAAUCCGCUUGCUUUGGUAUUCUACGAUAGUCCCACCUCUCUUGGAGCCACGUGCAAAGCUCACAGACAUCAGCAGGAAUUGGAGCUGUUCUUAUUUCGCUUGUGAGCGCAGUAAGUUAUUGGUUGGGGAAAUGAGUCAGGAAGAAAAUAGUAAAAAAAAAAAGCAACCCCAAACAUCAGUCCUUGGUUCUGCCAUCUCCUGAGGUGCCCCAUGGUCAGCGUAGGAGACAGCGCCUCGGGGGUGGUGGGAAUUGUUGCUGUAGGUCUCCAGAGUGGAAUUUGCCCUGGAUGGAGACAGCACUGGUAGCUGCCCUACGUGCAUGGCUCUCCUCCAUUCCUACAUCCACUGACCUCUGCACCAAAAGCCCAUCCCAGUGCGUGUGUCCACAGCCUGAAAAAGCAGGCAGAUGCCAUGAGCAGGGAGAAGAGAGAAAAAGCAUUGGCAACUGGAGAUGUGGGUCUAGAACUCUUAACAAUAAGCUAGUUAUCUUUGCCUCUGGUUACCACUGGGCAGCGAUUCCCUCGGCACAGCAGCAUGAUGUUGGGCCACACGCUGGCCAAGGCAGUGCCCAAUUGCCCACAGCCUGGAUGGGAACUCUUCCUUGAUGCAUCAGGGCAGGCUCCAGCCUCCAUCCCAGAGGCACCAACAGCCAAACACAGGUUUCUCUUCCUCAGGAGCACGGUGCUCACGCUGCUCGCUUGUGGCUAUGAACAGAGGGGAAAACAAUGCGAUAAGUGCAGAAUGG
ensembl:lncRNA